AAAUGAACUGUAUGUUCUGAAGGCUUGCUUCAUAAAGGGAACCUAUUUUUGCAGUAUCCUAACAUUCUGCUCACUUUCAUUUUGGCAGGAACAAAAAAAAUAAAAAAUGUGAAGUCUUCACAACCAGAUUCACCAGACACCAUAAAGGCAGUUCCUCUAGGAGUCUAGAACUGUUUGUGGUGAGGAAAGAAGUGACAAUGAAAAUAGACAAACCCAUAUUCCCAUAGUAGAGCAUGAUAACAUGGAGAAGUACCUAUAGUAAACCAGGUAAGUCACAAUCAUUAAUAACGAUCUACUCUCACAAUUAAUAGAAACUGAUCUCAUUAAUAUGAUUAUAUUCAGUUUCCUUUCAAAUGUUCAUUUUUUGCUUUACUAAUUUAUUUAUGUACAUUUCAGUCAGGACUCAGAUUCCUGCCUAUUUUUUCUUAAUUGGGAAUAUUUUAAAAAAAUACUUAUAGAUGGAAGCAAGUUGUUUCUCUAGAGAUAUUCAAACACAAGCUGGCUGUUAUAGGUAUCAUAGGUAAAUCCACUAAUCUUUCACCCUAGAUUUAACUUCAAAUCCCAAUUUAGGUCACAGUGAAAACCAGUUGUUUGGUCUCACCUUAGAACUGGAACUGCAAGUGCAGAUUGAGGUGUGAUUUUGCAAAGCUUGCACAACAGCUGCCUACACUUUACCUGAUUUAAACAACAAAUAUCAGGUCCAAUCUACACAGCAAUUAUAAAGUGAGUCAGGCGAUCCAGUUAAAACUUGUGGUGAAGAUUGGAUUUAAGUGUCCCAAAACUAGAACACAGACAGUCAAAAUUUAAAGAACAUGAUGAAGUCUCAUCUACAUCAUAACUUAAGUGUGUUAUAUCCUAGUUCCCUAAAUUCAGUUGUAGUUGUCCAGAUAGCCCUUAGUCUUACCAUUUAAAGAAAAAAAAUAUUUUCCUAAGGUCUCAUGAUGCUUCAUGUGUAAAAACUAAACAUAAAUUUCUUAUGCAAAGAGAAAAAGAAAUAUUGGACAAUGAUUUUUUUUUAAACAGACUAAAGUUAAAGUGAUUUCUACCCUUAAACAUGAGAUUAGUAAAAAAUAAUCUUGCAUGCAUACACAGAUAACUUGGUUUGUGGAUGGUCUAAGUAAAUAUCUCUUCUCUCUAUUUGGUAUCAUCUGUUUAUUUGUAGCAGUAUCAUUGUAAACUCAUUACUUUAUAAACGAUGACUAAAGUCUCUAACUUACGAAAGUUACUUUUCACUUACUGAUCUAUGAAUUCUACACCGACUCCAAAAGCUUCUGCCAUGUACCCUAGUGUCAGUGACCGGUAGGAUUCUAGGAGCUGGCUGUAAGCAUGGAUUCUCAUUUCCCGUACAUAAUAACGGUAGUGAGGAGCAAACAGCCAAUCUUUUUUCAUCUCUUGCUCUACAAUAGCUGAAAAGAUAAAAAUCACAAAUACAGUCUAUAAUCUCUUAGAGUUAAUCUAUUCCUGGUUAUACACAAAAAAAAAAAAAAAACCACCCCACAUAACAAAGUUCAAUAAGCAACAUGACAUGGUAUGUGGUUGUACAGGAUCCCUGUGUCCCGUAUGUGUGCAUUGAGAUAUAAACGCACAACCAAAAUAGAUACUCACAUCUUUAACGAUAGCACCUGGUUUGUGUUUGCUUCAUCAAAACUUGUUCUUAAGAAUAGAACAGUUGAGGGUAAGACUAGUUUUCUAUUGAGAGGGUCUUAAACUGGCUUUAAGAAACUACAGAUGCUUCAGGAGCUCUUGGUUUUUGUCAGACUGGCACGUGCAGUUCUCAGCAGCAGCUGAGGUCUGCAGCUGAGAUUUUCUACCCUCUGCUUCUGGUUGCAGGGCAGCCAUUCGGAUCCAGUCUUCUCCAAAGUAAAGGGGAAGAUUUUUUUAAAAUUAUUAUUUUUGCUACCCUAGAACCCAUUUUCAUGGAAACUGGAACAGAAACCAGCAGCAUGAAAACUGACAGCACAGUGACAACAAUGAAGAAUGGAUUUUAAAACUGUUUUCUUCCCUCAUUUCUGCACUGUUCCCACAGAAAUCAGUUCAAAACCGCCCUUAAUAGCCAGUGGCUAUGAAAUCUCCCCUUUGUAAUUUAAACCUGAAAGUUCAGAUUUUAAAAAUUUAGAAUCCUUUGACUUCCUGAAGCAUCCAGUGUUUUAAAUUUAUAAAAAACUGUCUUCAUUUUUAAAGGAAGCCUUCCAGAAUUCCCAUUUUAAUGGAGUUAAGUACUAUUACGGUCCCAAUUCCACAACCAGGAAUCUUGUAUUUGCACACAGCUUAUGGGUCUGACCAUAGAAUUAGGACCAAAGAUAGCAAACUAGCUCUUUGAUCGCAUCCUGUAAGAUGGUACCAUGUGCCCACAUUGUCAGAACCUUUCCUCAUCCAACCAGAUGCCACCUUUCAAAAUGCUCAUUUUAUAAGAAAAACAUUUUAGAGAGCCAUAAAUCCUUGCAAGAGCAGCUUACUUUACUUCACUGUGCUGCAAAGGGAAAGUGGUAUUUAGGAGUGAUUCACCUAAAGUAAAUGGAUGAUUUUAACUGUCAGGGGUUUGACAACACUAACUACACCUAUAGCCCAUCCCCUAGGCAAUUCUACAAAACUCAGCUACGAUUUGCAGCAAGCUGCUCACAGGACCUAAUGAGAAACACAGGACAACGAUACUGGUGUAUGAAACAUCCUUACCUAAUGACUGGAAGAAGACUGAAUAACGACAUUCAUAGAGUGAAAAAAGAUACUGUCGUACUGUUGGUAAACUAUGCAACACUUCCAGAAUCUCUGCCCCUUUAAUAACCUGAAAGCAAUCGAACAACAUUUAGAAGUUUCAUAUACUAGUCUGAGAGAGAACAUUAAGAAUAAUCUGAUCAGCUUGAAUCAGUGCAGUAAUUUGCUUUACUUGCCUUCUCUCUGAGGUCAGGUCUGUCUAACGCAAUCAUACUGACGUAGACAGUAUAUGUUACAAAUGUUUUGUAAUCCAUAAGUUCAUAGGAUGUAAA